rnacentral:rRNA from 1 species
GAUGAACGCUGGCGGCGUGCCUAAUACAUGCAAGUCGAGCGAACAGACGAGGAGCUUGCUCCUCUGACGUUAGCGGCUGACGGGUGAGUAACACGUGGAUCACCUACCUCUAAGACUGGGAUAACUUCGUGAAACCGGAGCUAAUACCGGAUAAUAUAUUGAACCGCAUGGUUCAAUAGUGAAAGACGGUUUUGCUGUCACUUAUAGCUGGAUCCGCGCCGCAUUAGCUAGUUGGUAAGGUAACGGCUUACCAAGGCGACGAUGCGUAGCCGACCUGAGAGGGUGAUCGGCCACACUGGAACUGAGACACGGUCCAGACUCCUACGGGAGGCAGCAGUAGGGAAUCUUCCGCAAUGGGCGAAAGCCUGACGGAGCAACGCCGCGUGAGUGAUGAAGGUCUUCGGAUCGUAAAACUCUGUUAUUAGGGAAGAACAAAUGUGUAAGUAACUAUGCACGUCUUGACGGUACCUAAUCAGAAAGCCACGGCUAACUACGUG